rnacentral:rRNA from 1 species
GGAGUAUUGCACAAUGGGCGAAAGCCUGAUGCAGCAACGCCGCGUGAGGGAUGACGGCCUUCGGGUUGUAAACCUCUUUUAGUAGGGAAGAAGCGACAGUGACGGUACCUGCAGAAAAAGCACCGGCUAACUACGUGCCAGCAGCCGCGGUAAUACGUAGGGUGCAAGCGUUGUCCGGAAUGAUUGGGUGUAAGGAGCUCGUAGGCGGUUUGUCGCGUCUGCUGUGAAAUCUGGGGGCUCAACCCCCAGCCUGCAGUGGGUACGGGCAGACUAGAGUGCGGUAGGGGAGAUUGGAAUUCCUGGUGUAGCGGUGGAAUGCGCAGAUAUCAGGAGGAACACCGAUGGCGAAGGCAGAUCUCUGGGCCGUAACUGACGCUGAGGAGCGAAAGCAUGGGGAGCGAAC